GACGAACGCUGGCGGCGCGCCUAACACAUGCAAGUCGAACGAGCGAGAGAGAGCUUGCUUUCUCAAGCGAGUGGCGAACGGGUGAGUAACGCGUGAGGAACCUGCCUCAAGGAGGGGGACAACAGUUGGAAACGACUGCUAAUACCGCAUAAGCCCACGACCCGGCAUCGGGUAGAGGGAAAAGGAGCAAUCCGCUUUGAGAUGGCCUCGCGUCCGAUUAGCUAGUUGGUGAGGUAACGGCCCACCAAGGCGACGAUCGGUAGCCGGACUGAGAGGUUGAACGGCCACAUUGGGACUGAGACACGGCCCAGACUCCUACGGGAGGCAGCAGUGGGGAAUAUUGCACAAUGGGGGAAACCCUGAUGCAGCGACGCCGCGUGGAGGAAGAAGGUCUUCGGAUUGUAAACUCCUGUUGUUGAGGAAGAUAAUGACGGUACUAAACAAGGAAGUGACGGCUAACUACGUG
rnacentral:rRNA from 1 species